GGGUUGUGAGGUUAAGCGACUAAGCGUACACGGUGGAUGCCCUGGCAGUCAGAGGCGAUGAAGGACGUGCUAAUCUGCGAAAAGCGUCGGUAAGGUGAUAUGAACCGUUAUAGCCGGCGAUGUCCGAAUGGGGAAACCCAGUGCAAUUCGUUGCACUAUCGUUUGAUGAAUACAUAGUCAAACGAGGCGAACCGGGGGAACUGAAACAUCUAAGUACCCCGAGGAAAAGAAAUCAACCGAGAUUCCCCCAGUAGCGGCGAGCGAACGGGGAGCAGCCCGGAGUCUGAAUCAGCUUGUGUGUUAGUGGAAGCGUCUGGAAAGUCGCAGGGUACAGGGUGAUACUCCCGUACACUAAAGCACACAGGUUGUGAACUCGAAGAGUAGGGCGGGACACGUGGUAUCCUGUCUGAAUAUGGGGGGACCAUCCUCCAAGGCUAAAUACUCCUGACUGACCGAUAGUGAACCAGUACCGUGAGGGAAAGGCGAAAAGAACCCCGGCGAGGGGAGUGAAAAAGAACCUGAAACCGUGUACGUACAAGCAGUAGGAGCCUCUUUAUGGGGUGACUGCGUACCUUUUGUAUAAUGGGUCAGCGACUUAUAUUCUGUAGCAAGGUUAACCGUAUAGGGGAGCCGCAGGGAAACCGAGUCUUAACUGGGCGUUAAGUUGCAGGGUAUAGACCCGAAACCCGGUGAUCUAGCCAUGGGCAGGUUGAAGGUUGGGUAACACUAACUGGAGGACCGAACCGACUAAUGUUGAAAAAUUAGCGGAUGACUUGUGGCUGGGGGUGAAAGGCCAAUCAAACCGGGAGAUAGCUGGUUCUCCCCGAAAGCUAUUUAGGUAGCGCCUCGUGAACUCAUCUUCGGGGGUAGAGCACUGUUUCGGCUAGGGGGUCAUCCCGACUUACCAACCCGAUGCAAACUACGAAUACCGAAGAAUGUUAUCACGGGAGACACACGGCGGGUGCUAACGUCCGUCGUGAAGAGGGAAACAACCCAGACCGCCAGCUAAGGUCCCAAAGUCAUGGUUAAGUGGGAAACGAUGUGGGAAGGCCCAGACAGCCAGGAUGUUGGCUUAGAAGCAGCCAUCAUUUAAAGAAAGCGUAAUAGCUCACUGGUCGAGUCGGCCUGCGCGGAAGAUGUAACGGGGCUAAACCAUGCACCGAAGCUGCGGCAGCGACACUAUGUGUUGUUGGGUAGGGGAGCGUUCUGUAAGCCGUUGAAGGUGGCCUGUGAGGGUUGCUGGAGGUAUCAGAAGUGCGAAUGCUGACAUAAGUAACGAUAAUGCGGGUGAAAAACCCGCACGCCGGAAGACCAAGGGUUCCUGUCCAACGUUAAUCGGGGCAGGGUGAGUCGACCCCUAAGGCGAGGCCGAAAGGCGUAGUCGAUGGGAAACAGGUUAAUAUUCCUGUACUCGGUGUUACUGCGAAGGGGGGACGGAGAAGGCUAUGUUGGCCGGGCGACGGUUGUCCCGGUUUAAGCAUGUAGGCGGAUGUUCCAGGUAAAUCCGGAACGUUACUAACGCUGAGGUGUGAUGACGAGGCACUACGGUGCUGAAGUGACAAAUGCCCUGCUUCCAGGAAAAGCCUCUAAGCAUCAGGUAACAUCAAAUCGUACCCCAAACCGACACAGGUGGUCAGGUAGAGAAUACCAAGGCGCUUGAGAGAACUCGGGUGAAGGAACUAGGCAAAAUGGUGCCGUAACUUCGGGAGAAGGCACGCUGAUAUGUAGGUGAAGUGGUUUACCCAUGGAGCUGAAAUCAGUCGAAGAUACCAGCUGGCUGCAACUGUUUAUUAAAAACACAGCACUGUGCAAACACGAAAGUGGACGUAUACGGUGUGACGCCUGCCCGGUGCCGGAAGGUUAAUUGAUGGGGUUAUCCGUAAGGAGAAGCUCUUGAUCGAAGCCCCGGUAAACGGCGGCCGUAACUAUAACGGUCCUAAGGUAGCGAAAUUCCUUGUCGGGUAAGUUCCGACCUGCACGAAUGGCGUAAUGAUGGCCAGGCUGUCUCCACCCGAGACUCAGUGAAAUUGAACUCGCUGUGAAGAUGCAGUGUACCCGCGGCAAGACGGAAAGACCCCGUGAACCUUUACUAUAGCUUGACACUGAACACUGGUCCUUGAUGUGUAGGAUAGGUGGGAGGCUUUGAAG
rnacentral:rRNA from 1 species